CCUACGGGAGGCAGCAGUGGGGGAUAUUGCACAAUGGGCGGAACCCUGAUGCAGCGACGCCGCGUGGGUGAAGAAGGGCCUCGGCGCGUAAAGCUCUGUCAGCAGGGAAGAAAAUGACGUUACCUGAAGAAGAAGCCCCGGCUAACUACGUGCCAGCAGCCGCGGUAAUACGGAGGGGGCAAGCGUUAUCCGGAUUUACUGGGUGUAAAGGGGGCGCAGACGGCGAUGCAAGCCAGGAGUGAAAGCCCGGGGCCCAACCCGGGGACUGCUCUUGAAACUGCGUGGCUGGAGUGCAGGAGGGGCAGGCGGAAUUCCUGGUGUAGCGGUGAAAUGCGUAGAUAUCAGGAGGAACAGCGGUGGCGAAGGCGGCUUACUGGACUGUAAAUGACGCUGAGGCUCGAAAGCGUGGGGAGCAAACAGGAUUAGAUACCCGAGUAGUC
rnacentral:rRNA from 1 species